rnacentral:misc_RNA from 1 species
AAGAUGGCCACAGAAGAUCUGAGUAGACAUGGAAACUACGUUAUUGAGCAAGUAAGCCACAACUGAAGGCCCAGCUAAAAGAAAUAGUGUUUUCAGCUCUAGCAAGACAGCUUUUUGGAGACGCUGAAAGUAUGUGAAUUCCAUGUUAGAUAAUAUUUCUUCAAGUUCAGAGCUCACUGGCUGCAACGAGGAUUGUUUGCGAAGUAAUAUGGAUUGAUUGACCUCAUCAUUAUCAGCCAUGAUCUCUCUAAAUUCUCUCUUGCUCUCACUCUAAAAUCUAUAGGAUUAAUGUCAUAUAGGUAAAGUUGAUAGCAUGUAUAUAGAAAGAAAGUUAUUACAUUAGUUUAUUGAUAACCUCUUCACGUUUAACAAACAGUUCCUUCUGCGGUUGAAUGAUCACCUCUGAUUUUAACAUUGGUAGCUGGAUGAAUUUUUCGUCCACAUGAUGAGGGGAUAACGCAACUCAAGCUACUUUGGUUUGACAGUUUGUUGUACAUACGUAAAAUUAAAACAUAUAUAAUUAAACAGAACUCGUAGUAAUCUAAGUUGAGCAUUUUGGAAGCUCUAUAAUUAAACAGAACACGCACUAAGUUCCUUCAAGUGCCUGUAGUCUCCAUAAUCAUUUAAAGAGGGAGAGCUUGAUUGUGCAAAAUUUAUCCCUGUUGAUGCCAUAGAUCACACUUUUUGUAUAAAUUGACCUGCAAACCUGACAUGUAAGAGAAGCAACUUAGCAUAAUUCGUCUUAAUUGGCUCAUGUUCACUAGAGAUUAUUAAAUACAUUCAG